UACGUAGGUGGCGAGCGUUGUCCGGAAUUACUGGGUGUAAAGGGCGUGUAGGCGGGGAUGUAAGUCAGAUGUGAAAUUCCGUGGCUCAACCACGGGCGUGCAUCUGAAACUAUGUUUCUUGAGUGCUGGAGAGGAAAGCGGAAUUCCUAGUGUAGCGGUGAAAUGCGUAGAUAUUAGGAGGAACACCAGUGGCGAAGGCGGCUUUCUGGACAGUAACUGACGCUGAGGCGCGAAAGCGUGGGGAGCAAACAGG
rnacentral:rRNA from 1 species